rnacentral:tRNA from 1 species
UGGCACAGUGGUUGAGAGUUUGACUGCUAAUCAAAAUGUUGGUAGUUUGAAUCUACC